CGCACGCACGCGCACAGGCAAACAGGCGCACAGGCACACGCACCUGCCAUUUUCACCAGUGAAGAGGACAAGUGAAAAGGUGGCAAAAAAGAUGUUUCACCCAGUCUGUUGGAGCAACUAAGGUGACCAUAUUCAGCUGUUUGACAGAGGGAGAGGCAAAGGACCUUGCCCAGAAGUUUGGAAUGAAACUUCUUUCCGGGAUCCCUGAAGAGAACAUACCAGCAACACUGAGGACCAUUUAACAAUUGAGGAGGAAUGUCCAAAACCUGAGCCCUGAAUCAAACUUUGAUUUGCCACUUUCUUUUCCUUUUUAGAGAACUGCCUAAAAUACAUCCUUUUCACAAUGUCACUUCACCUCUGUCUUUACAGUACGCGGUGUAUUUUUAGUUUGUUUACUUUAGAAUGAAUGGGAGACUUCUCUGGAAAAUUUACAACUGAAAAUAUUAACAUUGCACAUUGUAAUUUAAGACUAUUACAGUAUUUGGCAUUUGUUCAGAUGUUUCUCUUUCAAUACUGAACUGCUUUCUGAGUUAGAAAAUGAUUCUUUAAGUUAUUAAGAAUAGGAAAAAGCUAUUGUUUAUCAAGGAAAGUAUAUGUUUGCAACCUUUUCACUUAAGUUUAUUUUCUUAAUAAUGGAUUUAUUAUUAUUUAUUAAAUCUUCUCUUAUUGGUCUCGUUUCAGAAAGAAGGUUAAGUGAAAACUCGUGGUAACUUACUCUGGUAACCUAACCUGGUCAUGAGCAGGUUUAUUCUCUUAACUCGUAGUUUCUGUUGGUCUCCUCCCCUUUUUUUAAAAUGGCGCUGUAUUUCUCACCUUAGCCUUACGUUUCCACCCACCUAUUUUUAUACGCAUUUUCGAGAUGCACAUAAAAAAAAAAAAUCGGUUGAUGGAAACGCCAAGAUGCACAUAAAUUUUGAAAUGUUAUCUUUAACUGAUGAACGUAAAAGAGGGAACCUUAAAUUAAACAUUUCCACUGAACAUUAAACUAAGGUUAUAUGCAUUCUUGUUUUGUCAAAUUUGUUACAGAAUCUAUGCAGAAGCCUAUUUUUUUGUAAUUUAAUGCAAUUAAAUCUGUAAUAACUUAAAUUACAGGCAACUCCCCACUUUUUCACAUGAAAAGUCAAAAACGUCAUUUUUUGUUUAUUAUGUUUUCCCAUUGCUAACUGUCUCUGUUUCACUGAUACAGUGGUGUUGCUUUUUUUAAAUAUAUGCUCAUAUUUGUUAUAACUUUGCAUAAGCACAUCAAGUUCAGCUGGAGACAGAAAUCUCUUUUUUUUUUAGAUGUUGCCAUGGUCACUCGUAAUAUCUGCGCUCCACUGAUAAUGCCUUUUUAUAGUUGCAGUGUGCGCGCUUAACUUUGAGUAGGUCUACACAAAGUUGAUUGUGCUAAC